UAUAUGGCUCUAUGCAGAUAUUUACUAUAUGUAUUAGGUUGUAUGUAGUAGUAUGUAGUAGUACUGUAUGAACAUUUUAAUAGUAUAGUAAAUGCAGUUUUGUAGUUAAAAUGUAGUUUUCGUAGUUAAAAUAGAAACUAUGUAUGUGGGAUAUUUUUUUAAAGAGAGGAAUGAGGUACUCGCACUCAGAUAGCAGCCACAGGACACCUAAAUCUUUCAGAGAAAAAGAAUUUACUGCUCUCUUAUCAGAAGAAACUAACUUCUUCCUGCCUCACUCAGCUCUGAAGAUGCUGUCAGGAUUAAGAGGAAGAAGCUGACACUUGGGAACCACUCAUGCAAAGGGAAGGACAUGAGGUACCUGCUAGGACUGGAGACCCAGAGCUUCAGGGACUUUGGCCAGCUAUUCCUGGCCAUCUGCUGCCUCACCAGCUGCUCACAGUGCAAUGCAGAACUUGUCUCCAUUUAGGAGCUCAGCCCCUUGAGGAGGGCAAAGGCAGUGGGUGCACAGCUGACCUCCUGUGCACUGUCUGCAGGACAGACCCAGACCCAGUGCCAAACUCCAGAGAGAUGGGGAAUAAAUGCAAGGAAAAGGCAGAAGAACAGACAUAUGGCUGCAUGAACUCUUGCUCACCCCUUCCCAAAUCCUGGCCAUAGAGAUGCAGUGGCCUGGAGAACUGUGGGAGUGAGUCUGGGGACUGAGAAGACCACAGGAGGUGGCCCAGUCCCAGAUUUGACACCCCUUUAGCCAUUAUUAGAUAGCCAGGAAGGAGGAAAAGACAUUCCCUGAGGGCAUGGAGAGGUUCUGGCUCUGGCUGCUGUGCUGUAGUUGCUGUGAUGUUGCUUUUGCUUGGGAAGGGAGUGGAGGCCUGUGGCAGCACAACUGGAGGCAGUGGGGAGAGAGCAGCAAGUUCAGCCUCAGGGACCCUCAGCAGCCCCCAGCAGGUGUAGGGGAACAGAGAAAGACACAGCUACUGGAGAUUUGUGGGGCCACAGGGCCCAAGGAAUCCUCCUGCCAGGCAAAUGGCAUGCAUUAUUACUUGCUAUCUUUGGGGCACCUAGGUGAGAAUUCCCUAAUUUCAUUAAAUCUUAUUUUUGUAAUGCCCUUGGGAUCAAGGUGACUGACCUGGAUGCUCUCUAAUCCUACCCCUCGAUCUCUCCUGUGCCUGCUCCCCAGAAAUGGGGGUGAUGCUGGAGCAGGCAAGGGAGGAAAAGGCAGGUUGGCCUCAGGAGCUGGAGGGAGUGACCAGGUUUCCUCCUCCAUUUCCAGAGAGCUCCUGUGCUGUGCGUGUGCCACUUCAGAUGCUCAGAGCACCCUCCUCCCUCCUCAUGCUUUUAUGCAUUUUCCAAUUAAAUUUCUUCCACGAGAAGGAGAGAGGCACUCUGAAUCCAUUAGCAUUAGUAAUUAUGCAAAUGCUUCAGGGAGUUGACUGCCCAUCAUUACAUAUAAUUAAUGUUUUUGGUUAUGAAUGAAGGGUUUGUUACUCUUCUUCACCCC